rnacentral:tRNA from 1 species
GAUAAAGAGAGGAAUUAAACCCCGUGAGUAGGACUACAGCCUACUGCCUAACACUCGGCCACUUUACC